CAGUUGAAGUGGUCUACUACCAUGUGUUCACAGCAGAUGUGACCACAAGGUUAUAGUUGAUUAUGUAUCAGGUAAAGGUGUGACCACAAGGUUAUAGUUGAUUAUGUAUCAGGUAAAGGUGUUGUAGGACACAGCAGGUGUGACCACAGGGUUAUAGUUGAUUAUGUAUCAGGUAAAGGUGUGACCACAGGGUUAUAGUUGAUUAUGUAUCAGGUAAAGGUGUGACCACAGGGUUAUAGUUGAUUAUGUAUCAGGUAAAGGUGUGACCACAGGGUUAUAGUUGAUUAUGUAUCAGGUAAAGGUGUGACCACAGGGUUAUAGUUGAUUAUGUAUCAGGUAAAGGUGUGACCACAGGGUUAUAGUUGAUUAUGUAUCAGGUAAAGGUGUGACCACAGGGUUAUAGUUGAUUAUGUAUCAGGUAAAGGUGUGACCACAGGGUUAUAGUUGAUUAUGUAUCAGGUAAAGGUGUGACCACAGGGUUAUAGUUGAUUAUGUAUCAGGUAAAGGUGUGACCACAGGGUUAUAGUUGAUUAUGUAUCAGGUAAAGGUGUGACCACAGGGUUAUAGUUGAUUAUGUAUCAGGUAAAGGUGUGACCACAGGGUUAUAGUUGAUUAUGUAUCAGGUAAAGGUGUGACCACAGGGUUAUAGUUGAUUAUGUAUCAGGUAAAGGUGUGACCACAGGGUUAUAGUUGAUUAUGUAUCAGGUAAAGGUGUUGUAGGACACAGCAGGUGUGACUACGGGGUUAUAGUUGAUUAUGUAUCAGGUAAAGGUGUUGUAGGACACAGCAGGUGUGACUACGGGGUUAUAGUUGAUUAUGUAUCAGGUAAAGGUGUUGUAGGACACAGCAGGUGUGACUACGGGGUUAUAGUUGAUUAUGUAUCAGGUAAAGGUGUUGUAGGACACAGCAGGUGUGACUACGGGGUUAUAGUUGAUUAUGUAUCAGGUAAAGGUGUUGUAGGACACAGCAGGUGUGACUACGGGGUUAUAGUUGAUUAUGUAUCAGGUAAAGGUGUUGUAGGACACAGCAGGUGUGACUACGGGGUUAUAGUUGAUUAUGUAUCAGGUAAAGGUGUUGUAGGACACAGCAGGUGUGACCACAGGGUUAUAGUUGAUUAUGUAUCAGGUAAAGGUGUUGUAGGACACAGCAGGUGUGACC